GCAAUCUCCGUAAAGGGCAGUCAGACGGCGAGGGGUAAAAAAUGGUUCUCGUAGAGCUCGCAAGGAGGUGUCAAACACGGACUUUGCGCCCCCGAGACAAUAGCAUUUACUGAUGAUGUUGAUGUCUUUGAAGAGUUUCCCCACAGGCUUCCUCCUCCAGCUUCUAGACAAGAUCAUCUCUGACAGUGCAACAACCUGUCCAGCAUUUGACAAAGAUGCGAAGUGAACGAGUGCCAGACUUCGUGGGGAAAUGUCCAGACCGCAGUUCUUCACGUGAGACAGAUCCACAUGUGGGGUAACAUCUCCCAAUUGUCACGCCCAGCUGUUGAGACCAGAGAUGGAUCAAGAGCUCAACUUUCUGCCAAUAUUUCGUCAGAGAACAAGACAGUCGACCUGCUCCAGGGGAUGUGUGGGGAUACAGGAGAGACUGGCAACUACAGACAGCUCCAGGCUGGAUCUGUCUGUCCCCUCUCUCUCUCCUCUAUCCUCAUCUAUCUGUCUCCACCACUGCUUGUAGACAACGAUGAUGAGAUCUGUCAAGUCUUGUCCUAUUAUUUUCAUAACUAGGGAUCGAAACAGAACACGUGUUGGCUAGUUGGUGGAAUCAUCCCCAGAAUCGGUCCCAUUUGCAUUUAAGUGUAUUCGCAGAACUCUCGGUAGGUUUUCUCUCCUGAAAUGUAUGAUCUCUGCUCUACUGCCUUUUAGUAAACCAAUAUAACCCUUUUGUCUGAACCAAGCAAUUUACCAUUAUAAUGAACAAAGUAUAGGUGUAGUUCCAGACGUACUGUGGACAGUGGGGUUAUUAUUCUGAAAGCCUCAUUGCCAACCUUGAACAAUGGAGGAAAGCAUAGUAGAUGCUGCAAACUGUAUCAAAGAUCUUGUAGCUCCCUAAUGUCGCGUGCCAGACUUUACUGCUACAGAGUAGGUUUGUUCUGCUAUAUUAUACCAGACUUUACUGCUACAGAGUAGGUUUGUUCUGCUAUAUUAUACCAGACUUUACUGCUACAGAGUAGGUUUGUUCUGCUAUAUAAUACCAGACUUUACUGCUACAGAGUAGGUUUGUUCUGCUAUAUAAUACCAGACUUUACUGCUACAGAGUAGGUUUGUUCUGCUAUAUAAUACCAGACUUUACUGCUACAGAGUAGGUUUGUUCUGCUAUAUAAUACCAGACUUUACUGCUACAGAGUAGGUUUGUUCUGCUAUAUUAUACCAGACUUUACUGCUACAGAGUAGGUUUGUUCUGCUAUAUCAGUGCUGUCCAACCCUCUUCCUGGAGAUCUACUGUCCUGUAGGUUUUCAGUCCAACCCUCUUCCUGGAGAUCUACUGUCCUGUAGGUUUUCAGUCCAACCCUCUUCCUGGAGAUCUACUGUCCUGUAGGUUUUCAGUCCAACCCUCUUCCUGGAGAUCUACUGUCCUGUAGGUUUUCAGUCCAACCCUCUUCCUGGAGAUCUACUGUCCUGUAGGUUUUCAGUCCAACCCUCUUCCUGGAGAUCUACCGUCCUGUAGGUUUACAGUCCAACCCUCUUCCUGGAGAUCUACCAUCCUGUAGGUUAUCAGUCCAACCCUCUUCCUGGAGAUCUACUGUCCUGUAGGUUUACAGUCCAACCCUCUUCCUGGAGAUCUACUGUCCUGUAGGUUUACAGUCCAACCCUCUUCCUGGAGAUCUACUGUCCUGUAGGUUUUCAGUCAACCCUAAUUUAACACACCUGAUUUUUCUUAUUAGUUGCUCAACAAGACCUUAACUAGUUGAAUCAGAUACGUUAAAUUGGGGUUGGACUGAAAACCUACAGGACGGUAGAUCUCCAGGAAGAGGGUUGGACUGAAAACCUACAGGACAGUAGAUCUCCAGGAAGAGGGUUGGACUGUAAACCUACAGGACAGUAGAUCUCCAGGAAGAGGGUUGGGCAACCCUGUACCUUAUCAUACCAGAUUCUGAGCCUCUCGUCUGGCUCUGUGAGAUUAGAUUAGUAGCCUCCCUUAUGAUUGUUGAUCUGUGGUGGAAAGAUGUUUUUAUUGCUCUACCUCAUUGCCAUGUUUUGCACCAGGACAGUUGGUGCUUUUCUCUAUGAUAUUAACCAGUGUAAAGACAACAUCAGUACACUAACCCAGGUCCUAGAGUUCGAGGCAAAUUAAUAUCAUCGUUUCCCUUAGACGAAGUAGGGACCAUAUAGCCCAACUUAACGUACUGUACCAAAAGUCAAAAGACGCAAUUCAUUCUUACAUACACCAUAUUGAUUCAUUCUUACACCAUAUUGAUUCAUUCUUACACCAUAUUGAUUCAUUCUUACACCAUAUUGAUUCAUUCUUACACCAUAUUGAUUCAUUCUUACACCAUAUUGAUUCAUUCUUACACCAUAUUGAUUCAUUUUUACACCAUAUUGAUUCAUUUUGACACCAUAUUGAUUCAUUUUGACACCAUAUUGAUUCAUUUUGACACCAUAUUGAUUCAUUCUGACACCAUAUUGAUUCAUUCUUACACCAUAUUGAUUCAUUCUUACACCAUAUUGAUUCAUUCUUACACCAUUUUGAUUCAUUCUUACAGCAUAUUGAUUCAUUCGAUAACCUUAUCAGAGUUUGUAUGAAUGGCACAGAGUCCCAGAUUAUGUUAUUUUAGUUAUAGGGCCGGAUUCCCAGACACCCAGCCCUUGUUAUAGGGCCGGAUUCCCAGACACACAGCCCUUGUUCUCGGGCCGGAUUCCCAAACACACAGCCCUUGUUCUCGGGCCGGAUUCCCAGACACACAGCCCUUGUUCUCGGGCCGGAUUCCCAGACACACAGCCCUUGUCGCGAAGAAGUUCCAUUGAAAAAGCUUUUUAGCAGCAGGUAACCUAGUGGUUAGAGCAUUGGACUAGUAACCGAAAGGUUGCUGGAUCGAAUCCCGGAGUUGACAAGGUAAAAAUCUGUCGUAAAAAUCUUAAAAUCCCUUGAGCAAGGCAGUUAACACACUGUUCCCCGGUAGGCCGUCAUUGUAAAUAAGAAUUUGUUCUUAACUGACUUGCCUAGUUAAAAUAAAUUGAAAUGGUCCAGAAUUAGGAUUAAUCUGUAUCUGGGAAACAGGCCCGUAGGUUUAUGUGUUGUGCCCAUAGAGUUAGUUAGGUUUAUGUGUUGAGCCCCAGGACCAUAGUUAGGUAGAUUUAUGUGUUGAGCCCCAGGACCAUAGUUAGGGUUAUGUGUUGAGCCCCAGGACCAUAGUUAGGUAGGUUUAUGUGUUGUGCCCCAGGACUAUAGUUAGGUAGGUUUAUGUGUUGAGCCCCAGGACCAUAGUUAGGUAGGUUUAUGUGUUGAGCCCCAGGACCAUAGUUAGGUAGGUUUAUGUGUUGAGCCCCAGGACCAUAGUUAGGUAGGUUUAUGUGUUGUGCCCAUUGAGUUAGGUAGGUUUAUGUGUUGUGCCCCAGGACCAUAGUUAGGUAGGUUUAUGUGUUGUGCCCCAGGACCAUAGUUAGGUAGGUUUAUGUGUUGAGCCCCAGGACCAUAGUUAGGUUUAUGUGUUGUGCCCCAGGACCAUAGUUAGGUAGGUUUAUGUGUUGAGCCCCAGGACCAUAGUUAGGUUUAUGUGUUGAGCCCCAGGACCAUAGUUAGGUCGGUUUAUGUUUUGAGCCCCAGGACCAUAGUUAGGUCGGUUUAUGUGUUGAGCCCCAGGACCAUAGUUAGGUAAGUUUAUGUGUUGAGCCCCAGGACCAUAGUUAGGUAGGUUUAUGUGUUGAGCCCCAGGACCAUAGUUAGGUAGGUUUAUGUGUUGAGCCCCAGGACCAUAGUUAGGUAGGUUUAUGUGUUGAGCCCCAGGACCAUAGUUGGGUAGGUUUAUGUGUUGAGCCCCAGGACCAUAGUUAGGUAGGUUUAUGUGUUGAGCCCCAGGCAACAUUUUCUAUUUCCUCUUUUUUUUUUUUUUUUUUUCUGGUCCACCACCUUCACUCCUUCCGGGAUAUGUGCAAUAUGGUAUCUUAUUACCUGUCAUGAUGUGGAUAUGAAUAUGUAAUAUUGUAUGAACAAGUGACAAGUUGUUUGAAAACAACAAAAUUACCAACGUCUUCCAUUAAGAAAUAUUGUAUAGUCUUCAUAUGCAUUAGCUUGUUUAGAGGGACUGUGGUGCCAAUAUUAUAACUAACCAUGCAUGAACGGUUGCUGGCGUUGCUUGCUUUUUGAAUAGGGGGCGGUAGCGUAGCCUAGUGGUUAGAGCGUUUGGAUUAGUAACCGAAAGGUUGCAAGUUCGAAUCCCCAAAAUCUGUCGUUCUGCCCCCUGAACAAGGCAGUUAAUCCACUGUUCCUAGGCCGUCAUUGUAAAAUAAGAUUUUUUUUUUCUUAACUGACUUGCCUAGUUAAAUAAAAUAAAAAAAGUAAACAUUGUUUUCUAAAAACAGAAGAUGUUUGGGAGAUUUGAUUAAAUUGUUUAAUUCUAUUAAGAGUGAAUUUCAUCACAGAUAUACAGUUAUCUAUUACUAUCUAAACUGUAUUCUAUGGAAUUAACACAGAAUCAGACAUAUUGACAUCCAGUGUGUUAGGCUGUGUUUACACAGGCAGCCCAAUUCUAAUCUUUUUCAACUAAUUGGUCUUUUGACCAAUCAGAUCAACUCUUUUGCCAAUAAUUGGACAACCUAUUAGAGUUGUGCUCCCUGUGGAAACAGCCUAUUGUAAUGGAUCAAUAAAAUAAUGAUCUAGAAUAUAUUUAGUAAAAAAGCAUCUGAUUAGACAUUUUAGAAUAAACAAUUCUGCACGAUUUUCAGUUAAUUUGAUCUAUUGUAAUCUCUGUUUUUUUUAAAGGAAUGUUUAGCAUAUUAGUAGCUAUAUAAUUAAUGUUUUUUUGUUUAGAGGAAAGACUAUGGUGUGUAAUACAGUAUGUUCCUAGUAAGAACCACCCAACAGUGUGUGAAGUAGCACAUGUUGAAACAGAAAGACUGACAUUUGAAUUGGCAAAACGGUCUUCUGGGGAAAUUCAAUAGUCAAGCUACUUUCCCUAUGGUACUAGUGCGGUACUUUUUGACCGGGGGCCCAUAGGGCCCUGGUUAAAAGUAGUGCACUAUAUAGGGAAUAGGGUGCCAUUUUUUUGGAAGUAUCCUCGGACUCGUACAGUAUCACUCUGUAAGAACUAAGAACCCCUGAUUUAGGAGGCCUGUGUUUGAUGCUUCUCUUCACGGUUUUACAUUCUGUUUAAAAUGGUGCACCGUUGUCCAUAUCAAUCGAACUUGUGUAUGCAUGUAUACAUGUGAAUUAUUAUGCAUCCUUCAUAUUAAUUGAACGUAAUAGAGCUGCCUCAAGGAGAAACGACUGAACAAAAAAAAUGCUGUAAAACUUUACAUGUUUGAAUUAAUUCACUACCAUCAUCCUGUCUUGAAUACUGUGGUUAAAAAAUAACAAAAUUGUAAUGCUACAUAAUGUGAAAAUGGGUAGGAUAGGUAAAUCUAGAAUAUAUUGAUCAUUUACAACCUAUAUUAAAUACGAAGAGAAAAUAUUAUGCAUGACUAAAAGUAAUCAAUGAUUUUGUAUUGCGGGCAAUAAUCAACUUGGUCAUUUACCUUGGAUCAAUAGAUCUAUGAUACUGAAAGUUUGAUAUUGUGGCGCUUUGAUAUAAGUUAGUAAAACGUUUUACAGGUCUUGAAUAACAGGGGAAUGGUUGUUGACAUCACCCUGAGCACAUUGGAACCACUUGUUCUGAUAAAAGAUGUACGAUGUUGAUCCACAGCCUGAAAUCCAGUCUGUCUGUUUACGCUAUCAUUCUACUUGCCAUUCCUUGGCGAUGACAAGGAGACGAAUGAUGGCACAAACAGACUGGAUUUCAGGCUGUUGAUCCAAGUAUUAACUAGUAAACAAACAGAAUGAGUUGCCUGUGCGUUUGUGGUGUGACUAUGCACUCCAGCGAGAGGCCCUGGGGCGUGCUGGAGCAACGGAGUCUCCCGUCUCGGUUGUGGAUUCAUUGAAGAAAUCCGCGUCAGAAAGGUAGCAAUAAAAAGCAACAUGGUGCCAAAAGCAAGAA